CAGUGACACCCUGACGUACGGGAGAUAGGGGGAUUCCCACGAAGAUACAGCUUGUAAAUAUGCAGAAAACUCACAGUUGUGCGGCGCUCCUUCUUGCCACACUAGCGUUUAUGAUGUUGGCGUUCACCUCAGCAAAGAGCAUUUCCAGCGUUCAACACUCCAGACAUCGGGUAAGGCGGCAGGGAGGAGAUAUGACAAUAGCCGAUCGUUUGGCGUGGCUUUCACAGAACAUUAGACAACCAGUCGGCUGUUCAGACGCGGCCUGUGGAUUUGUCGAUACAGAUAAAAUUGGCAAGAGGAAGAGGGAGAGCACAGACUAUUACUACAACAACGGCGAAAGCAGUUUUAGUGACCUCAGGAAAGAACGGAUACUCCAAAGACUGACACAGCUAUUAAUAGAAGGCAAUCAAUAGGAGUGGAGGUGCUACUUAAACAAUGGCGAAGUGUCAGCCAAACGAUAUCUACUACAGCUGACGAAAUAAAAACAAGAAUCUCAGACGACUGCUCCUUUCUACUUAAAAAAUGAAGUGAAAAAAAAAA